rnacentral:rRNA from 1 species
UAUGUGAUCGUCUCUCGCAUAUCAAUAAGCGGAGGAAAAGAAACUAACAAGGAUUCCCCUAGUAACCGGGCGAGUGAAGCGGGAAGAGCUCAAAUUUGAAAUCUUAAAGGGUUUCCCUUUACGAAUUGUAGUUUAAAGAAGUGUUUUCUGUUGAGGUUUUGGUAAAAGUUCUUUGGAAUAGGAUAUCAUAGAGGGUGAGAAUCCCGUAUUUGACCUUUACUUUCAACUUUGUGAUACACUUUCAAAGAGUCGGAUUGUUUGGGAAUGCAGUCCAAAAUGGGUGGUAAAUUUCAUCUAAAGCUAAAUAUUGGCGAGAGACCGAUAGCGAACAAGUACCGUGAGGGAAAGAUGAAAAGAACUUUGAAAAGAGAGUUAAACAGUACGUGAAAUUGUCAAAAGGGAAGCGUUUGACACCAGUGCUGUCUUUCUGAAAAUCAAUUAAAGAACUGUUUAUGCUAAGUUGUUUAGACUUUAUCAGCUAUCUGCUUAGUUUUGAGCUUUUCUUUAAUGCACUUUUCAGUUAGCAAGUCAACAUCAAUUUCUUUUGCUGUAAAAAAGCUUGAGGAAGGUGGCUUGAAAUUCGUCUUAAGUGUUUAUAGCCUCUUGCCUAUGCAGUCGGAGAGAUUGAGGUCUGCAGCGUAGAUCCUUCGGGGCUAAAUGCAUUUGUGCUAAGUUAUAGCAUUUUAUAGACAACUUGUUGACUAUGAUUUGUCUUGUAGCUUACUCGCUUAUGUUAUUUUACCUACGCUUAGGAUGUUGAGUAGCGACAUACGCAC